rnacentral:rRNA from 1 species
GUGUCAGCCGCCGCGGUAAUACGAAGGGGGCGAGCGUUGUUCGGAUUUACUGGGCGUAAAGGGCGCGCAGGCGGCUUUGUUUGUCAGGCGUGAAAGCCCCGGGCUUAACCUGGGAACUGCGCUUGAGACGGCGAGGCUAGAGAUCGGGAGAGGAGAGUGGAAUUCCCAGUGUAGAGGUGAAAUUCGUAGAUAUUGGGAAGAACACCGGUGGCGAAGGCGGCUCUCUGGACCGACACUGACGCUGAGGCGCGAAAGCGUGGGGAGCAAACAGGAUUAGAAACCCCGGUAGUCC